UACAGAGGGGGCAAGCGUUAUUCGGAAUUAUUGGGCGUAAAGAGCUCGUAGGCGGUUUGUCGCGUCGACUGUGAAAACCCGAGGCUUAACCUCGGGCCUGCAGUCGAUACGGGCAGACUAGAGUUCGGUAGGGGAGACUGGAAUUCCUGGUGUAGCGGUGAAAUGCGCAGAUAUCAGGAGGAACACCGGUGGCGAAGGCGGGUCUCUGGGCCGAUACUGACGCUGAGGAGCGAAAGCGUGGGGAGCGAACAGG
rnacentral:rRNA from 1 species